rnacentral:rRNA from 1 species
AUACGGAGGGUCCGAGCGUUAUCCGGAAUCAUUGAGUUUAAAGGAUCCGUAGGCGGGAAUCUAAGUCAGUGGUGAAAUCUUGCAGCUCAACUGUAAAAUUGCCAUUGAUACUGGAUUUCUCGAAUUAGUGUGAAGUGGUUAGAAUGUGUAGUGUAGCGGUGAAAUGCAUAGAUAUUACACAAAAUACCAAUUGCGAAGGCAGAUCACUAACACUAUAUUGACGCUGAGGGACGAAAGCGUGGGGAGCGAACAGGAUUAGAUACCCCAGUAGUCC